CCUCUGGUGACCACGGGGGCCCUAAGCAGCCGCUUAGCUUCUGCAUUGGGCCGGCUCUGUACAGAAAGCACAUCUCUUCAGCUCUCUCUCCCUCACAGAUGCACAUACAGUUUGCACACACGUUAACAUACAGUCUAGUCGACUUUCAGAUUUGGCUCCAGCAUAUAGCAUAAAUGCAUAAAAGACUAAUAGCGUUUGUCCACCAAAGAUUUUCCAGCCAGCUGAAAAAAAGUAGGGGGAGGCUGCAGACCUGGAGCUGGUAGAUAUAGGCCCCAAGCAGUUUUAAGCCCCUGUUGUUCCUCAUGCGUCCAAUAGGGGGAGGCUGUAUAUUAGUAUAUGUGCCUAGUCAUCAAAACAGCAGACCAUAUCUGUAUGAUAGCAGCAGAAAUUUUUUGAAGCGAUACGAAUUGAGCUUGCGUGACAUGGCUUCUUCUGGGGAAGAAAUAAUAUCUAUACAGAGAGGUUGCAACUUACCUGCGCUUAACAGAUGCACCUCCUGCUGUUCCCUAUUUCACUGUCCUUUCUGUAAUUCUGAUUUUUUUUCAAGCCCUCAAAGAAAAGUAAAGUAUAAACUCAUCUUAAGCUUCACUUUUCUAGGGCAGUCGUCCAUGAAGGUAGCAUCAUUUAUGAUUGAUUUUUAUUUUAUUUUUUUCUAAAAAUGUAAUGAAU